CCGUCUUCCAGAGAACGUGGAGGCCUGGAGAAGGGAAAUUAGCCCCAAGAGCUCACAGCCGCUUCUGCCAGGUGUCAAGACCUCACUAUUCGAGGGACUCCUCACUGAAACCUGAGAGGUGUGUGCCCAGAGAAAAGGCCACGUGAGGACACCAAGAAGGUGGCCGUCUGCAAGCUGAGCUGAGGAGAGAGGCCGCAGGAGAAAGCAGCCCUGGCACCCGGAUGGACUUCCAGCUUCAGAACUGUGAGGAAAUACAUUUGUGCUUCCCACCUGUCCUGGCAGCUCGCGUUGACUGGCACAGGCCCCCGCCCACCCUGGGAAAACAAGGCCUAGCUCUCAACUUGCCUCAGGGAGUUCCCUGGCAGCUCUUGUGCGUGCCCUUUGACCAGCCCCUCUGGACCCGGCUGGAAUGGAUGGGGAGUGGGGAGGUGGGCGUGGAGGUGAGCCUGUGCGUGCCUGCGUGGGGCCUGCCCUGCCUGCCUUUGCCCCCAGUGGCAGAAUCGAGGACUGUUGCAAGGAGCAGGGGUCUGAGACCCGGCCCGGCCCCUUCGGGUGGUGGGAACGAGGCCCAGUGUCCGUCUCCUUCCGGCGAGUCCCCUGGCCUGGGUCUCCUCCCCUCUGGGAAACAAACCCUCUCCUUUCGGGAUAGCACCCCGAUUGCU